CAUCUUCAGAGAGGUAGAAAGGGAAUUUAAAACUGUUUUUCCUUCAGCACCAAGACCCAACUGCAAAGACAGUGCUUGUCAGUGAUGGGAGAGGAUCCAGGCCCAGGGAGAUACUGGAUCUGAGCUGUGAGGAGCAAGCCACUAAUUACAUUAAAUAAUAAUUAAAAAGAACACAAAACAAAAGGCACUGAAUGUUUUCAAACAAACUGGAGAAAAUGAGUUUUGUACAUUAACAGUCCAUGAACCUAAGGGGGUAAAAUCCUGCUGGCAGCAGUUUGCUGUUGGCUGUGUGGAUGCUCUGUGGUGCAGUACAGUCCUACCUUUCCUUUCCAGGGAGUGGGGAAUGCUGGCACCUUCAGCUGAGACUGAGAUGGGGGAGGCUGUUAGACCUUGUGGUUUGUUGUCCUCCAUUUCAGCUGAAGUUCCCCAGUGUCAGACUGACUCCUUCCCUGACUCUCCUCAGAUGAGGUACAAACUGGGGAUGUCAAGAAGCAAUUUUGCCUGAGAAGGUUUUUGGGUUUUUGCUUCUGUGGGAGGAGAUGUGGGUGUGAAUGUUCAAAUACGAUUCGGGUUUGGAGUCCUUAACUGCCCCACAAUUUUCAUUGGUUUGAGUUCAGCUCUUGAUCUCCACAUUAAUUUUUCAGCAUGAAAGGACAGCACAAGAAGCAGAAGCCUUGGAAAACUGAGGACACCCAGCCUGGGAGGGAGAGAAAAAUUUCACAUGGUUUGAGAAACCAGAGCAACAGAAAAUUAGGAGUAAGGCAAGGGGCAGGGGCAACAAAAGAGCCAAGGCAUGAAGAUUGUACUCAUCUGACAAAGCUUGAGGGGUUCAUGGUGGCUGAGGAAGCACAUGCCAGAGUCACCUCCAGACUGAUGGCUGUGACAGUGACCGGCGAGAGUCCCGCUGCCAGUCCUGCAGGUGAUGGUCAGGAAAAAUUGCAUUGCUUGUUCUGUGUUUAACAUCUCACUGCGUGAGACUACGGUGGGUAUGAGAGCACCUUUUGUCUGCACAGCCAAUUUGGCUGCCUCUGUUCCCGCUGGGCUCUGCUCACCGGCUGUCUCCAUGGCAUGCAUAUGAGCUCCCUCCUGUCUCUGCUCCAGAGCAAACCAACUGGUUUCUCACAAGGAGAAACCUUGACACAACUGACAGAGCUUUUUUUCAGGGCUGCACAGAGAAGUCUGGCAUCAGCUGGACCAGACUCUACCCUGGAGGUCCUCCAGCUAUCCCAGGAGAUCUCAUGCCCACUGUCUUCCACGCAGUCAGUGCUGUAGAACCCAAAAUGCCUUCAGAUCCUGCUGAAAACCAUCAUGCUGGCAGGCUGCCACCCAGUCCUUUCACCACUUAGAGAAUUUCAAAUGUAAAAAAAGUGCCCAAUGCAAUAAUUAUUGACCUGGGGUCUGUGGGCUCUGCAGGCAGCUCAGAGGAGACCCAGGCCAAGGCCUGCACAGCAUGAGGGUAACCACUGCCCUUCAGAGAGCGCUGGUCCUUAGUGGUGUGGACACAAGCCAGCCCGUAGCAAUGAGCAAUGGUUAAUGGUGCCUCCCAGGCAUUUUCCACAACAGCAGCAGACACGCAGCCUUUGCCAAAUAGCCAACACUCAGCAUUUCCUUUCUUGUCCUGAAGACUAUUUCUGGACUUUACAAACUUCUUCUUCCCCAUGGCUCACUGCUCUGGCAGCAAAGCAGGGAGGACUCCCUGGGGUGGCAGAAGUGGGUGACACACAAAUGCGUGAUGCACCAGGUCUGAGAGAUCUCCAGAAGCAGGAUGAGGACACCAAGCAUGAGGAGCCCAGAAUGAGGGAAUCACUGAGCCUGUGAGGGAACAAGAAAAAUAGAGAUAUUUCUGGGAGAAAGCCCAGAAAUUAAUACCAACCCCACUCCACUUUGGAAGGAAUCUCCUGAAGCAUAAAAAAAUCUGGCAAUUUACAUUAAAUAGUUGAAAAGAAAAAGUUGAGGUUUUUUCUUAGUGUAGUACAAACUGAAUUCACAGAUUUAGUGAGAAAGGGGGAGUGAAAGAGUCCUGAGUUCUUUACUCAAUAAUAACCUUGGUGCAGCUACCACCAAUACCUUGCAUAUCUGUCCUCCUCAGCAGUCCAGUGGCAAAACUAGGAGCUUAACUCUUAAGGGCAUUGCCCCUGGUUGUCUGGCUCAUCUCUCAGCAAAUAAACAUUGUCCAUUUCUCAUUUAUAUUUACCUCAUAGUACAUAUAUAAUGUUUGUAACCAGACAUCUGUCUAUACUUGGCUUGUUCCCUUCUCCAUUUAAACACAUACCUGAGAAGAAUCAUGAAGCCAAUCGCCCAUCUCCAGCAGCAAAAGCAUUUAUAGAAAAACAUUCCAGUACACAUCUGCAGAAUGAAUAUGUGAACAUAGAUUUGUAAAAGAUGAAUGACAAAGGACUUGGCAGGCACUGCAUGAAUAAGCCAUACAGAACCUCAAUACCCAGCUGUCAGGUUAGUAUGCUUUAUUUUAGCUUGC
rnacentral:lncRNA from 1 species